rnacentral:rRNA from 1 species
GAGACUCUGUGCGCGUGCAUAUCAAUAAGCGGAGGAAAAGAAACUAACAAGGAUUCCCCUAGUAACAGCGAGUGAAGCGGGAAGAGCUCAAAUUUGAAAUCUUAAAGGUUUCCCUUGACGAAUUGUAGUUUAAAGAAGUGUUUUCUGUUGAAGUUUUGGUAAAAGUUCUUUGGAAUAGGGACAUCAUAGAGGAUGAGAAUCCCGUAUUUGACCAGUUACUUUCAGCUGUGUGAUACACUUUCAAUGAGUCGGAUUGUUUGGGAAUGCAGUCCAAAAUGGGUGGUAAAUUUCAUCUAAAGCUAAAUACUGGCGAGAGACCGAUAGCGAACAAGUACCGUGAGGGAAGGAUGAAAAGAACUUUGAAAAGAGAGUUAAACAGUACGUGAAAUUGUCAAAAGGGAAGCGUUUGACACCAGUGUUGUUUAGUUGAAAAUCAAUUCAAUAAUUUUUGAUUUUGAGUAGUAUUGACUUCAUCAGCUUGCUGCUUUCUUUUCAGAAAUUAUUGAAUGCACUUUUCAGUUAACAAGUCAACAUCAAUUUCUUUUGUUGUAAAAGGGUAAGAGGAAGGUGGCUUACGCUUCGGCGUAAGUGUUUAUAGCCUUUUACCCCUGCAAUUGGAGAGAUUGAGGUCUGCAGCGUAGAUCCUUCGGGGUUAGAUACAUUUGUGCUAAGCUAUAGCCUUGUAUAGACAACUUGUUGACUAUGCUCAGUCAUGUAGCUUACUCGCUUAUGCUAUUUUACCUACGCUUAGGAUGUUGAGUCGUAGAGCACGCAG